GUGAGGAAUUUUCCGCAAUGGGCGAAAGCCUGACGGAGCAAUGCCGCGUGAAGGAUGAAGGCCUAUGGGUUGUAAACUUCUUUUCUCAGAAAAGAAUUAUGACGGUAUCUGAGGAAUAAGCAUCGGCUAACUCUGUGCCAGCAGCCGCGGUAAGACAGAGGAUGCAAGCGUUAUCCGGAAUGAUUGGGCGUAAAGCGUCUGUAGGUUGUUUAAAAAGUAUUCUGUCAAAGAUUAGGGCUUAACCCUAGAUAGGCAGAAUAAACUUUUAAGCUAGAGUUUGGUAGAGGCAGAGGGAAUUCCCGGUGGAGCAGUGAAAUGCGUAGAUAUCGGGAGGAACACCAAAGGCGAAGGCACUCUGCUGGGCCAAUACUAACACUGAGAGACGAAAGCGAGGGGAGCAAAUGGGAUUAGAUACCCGAGUAGUCC
rnacentral:rRNA from 1 species